AGUGAACGCUGGCGGUAGGCCUAACACAUGCAAGUCGAACGGCAGCACAGUAAGAGCUUGCUCUUACGGGUGGCGAGUGGCGGACGGGUGAGGAAUACAUCGGAAUCUACUUUUUCGUGGGGGAUAACGUAGGGAAACUUACGCUAAUACCGCAUACGACCUACGGGUGAAAGCAGGGGUUCUUCGGACCUUGCGCGAUUGAAUGAGCCGAUGUCGGAUUAGCUAGUUGGCGGGGUAAAGGCCCACCAAGGCGACGAUCCGUAGCUGGUCUGAGAGGAUGAUCAGCCACACUGGAACUGAGACACGGUCCAGACUCCUACGGGAGGCAGCAGUGGGGAAUAUUGGACAAUGGGCGCAAGCCUGAUCCAGCAAUACCGCGUGAGUGAAGAAGGCCUUCGGGUUGUAAAGCCCUUUUGUUGGGAAAGAAAAACAGCAGGUUAAUACCCCGCUGUUCUGACGGUACCCAAAGAAUAAGCACCGGCUAACUUCGUG
rnacentral:rRNA from 1 species